UGCAGGUCUCCCAGCUCCUGCUCCCCUGUUCCCCAUCUUUGGGUUGGUAGUCUUUGCUUCCCGGGCCUCAGGAGGAAGGGGGAGGCAGGAGGGAGCGGGAGGGGUGGAGGACGGAGGCUCCUUAGGCUGUGAGGAGCCGAGCGGGCUCUAACAGGGAGGCACUGUUCAUUCAGCCAGGGUGCCAUCAAGGUCCAGAGCUGGGAAUCCGUGACAGUUCCAGGUCCCAGACCUGCCUCCACCUUGCCAAGCGACGCGGGGCUCUUCCCUGUCAUAUUGAAGCUUCUGAGCCCCCAUUUGUGACCAGACGAAGGUAAACCAGCUGCCCCGAGGGCCUUCCUGCCACUUCUCUGAGAGGUGAGAGGCAGGGUCCGCCACCGCUUCUCGGGAGCCAGGGCAGGGCCGGAGCCCGGGAGCAGGAGCGAGGCUGCGCACGUCCUGGCCCUGCUGUCUUGUGUGGAGGACACGAGGACACGGCUGUGAAAUAACUCAUCUCAGCGUUGCUGUCUAGCUCAGGUCACCUCACGGUCCAAAAUGGCUCCAUCCUGUCUGCAUUCCGGGCAAGAAGCAAGAAGUGGGGAGGAGCCCAGCCAGGCCCGGACACUGCAGGGAGUUCUGGAGCCAGAAUUCCAGGGUUCCCAUCACGGCCCUGCUGCUUACCAGCUGUGUGCCUUGGGUGCCUAGAUACUCUGCAGUGAGGGACUGCAGAGUGGAUGUCCUUGGGAUGACCCAGGUGCCCAGCCCCCACGUGGAAGGGGAAGAGACUAAGGUUUGUGCAGACUGAUUUCUUCAAAAGGCGAGUGAGUCUGAACAGCACGCCUGCACCUUUCCUGUUGCCCCAGGACAGGACGGCCUAGUGGGGGACCAGCACUCUUCUUGGCCCUUCUCCUGUGACCCUAAGGCUCCCGAUGCCUCCCCUGUAGAACUGCCCCUGUGGGUCCCUUCUGGAGUUUCCAGACAGAAGCUGCAGGAUUGCAGAUUCCAGGUCAAAAUCUCCAUUUCCACCUUCUGUUGAGCACUUGGGAGGCCUGUACUGCUGGUCCUUCUUUCUAACCCAGCUUUGGUGAGCAGCUGCCUGGUUGCAUUCGGACACAGUCUCCCUGACUCUCGUACUCACUGGUCACCCCCCUCUUUGGGGUGCCUUCCUGGCCCCUAGUUACAGGCAUUCUAGCCAGUUCUCUUUGCUUUCUCCAAGUGUUUUCUUCCUACUCCCUCCUCUGCUGUCCCCCAAACUCCUCCCCGCCCAGGAUCCCAGUCCCAGAGAAUUCAUCCCAGUGCCCGGAUCAUCCAAGGCAAGACCUGGGGUCUCUGGGACUCCUGCCUCCCAGACCUACGAUUCACCACCAGCCUAUGGAUUCUGCACAUCUGCCCACUGCACUCCACCACCACCACCACCACCACCACGCUGCUGGCCAAGCCACGUAAUCGCAGGCUAGCACACCGCAGCCUCAUUCCUGGUCUGUCUGCCUCCAUCCCUGCCCCUCCGACUUGUGGAAGCCUCUGUAAAAUGCAAUGUGAUUAUGUCACUUCCUGCUUUGACCCCUUCAAUGACUUUCCAUUUUUAGCGGAGGAAAAAUCCAAAUUCCUUACAAGGAAAAAAAUCAAAACUCCUUACAAGGCCCUGGGACCAGGUCAGCCUCCCUCCCCAGCCUCCUCACCUCCCCUGAUCCUCUCUCCAGCCCCUGCACUCUGACCUUUUAUCAGUUCAUUCAGCUCUGCCUUCCACGCCUCUUGGCUUUUGUAAACAGGUGCUGUGACUUUUACACAGCAGGCUGGCCCAUCUCCCGUGUGCGGCUUGAUGGAUUUCACAAACGUAAACCUCCCUGUCACCACUACUCAGACUGAGACAGAGAACCCACCAGACCUUUGGGUCUGCUUUAUUUUUCCUUCUGGCCAUGCCCAGCCUUUAUUCCUUAAAUCCACUGCACCAUAAGUUUUACUACACGUUUGUCCUUUUCCUGACCCACCUAUAAAUGAAACCACACAGUGUAUGUUCUUUUGUGUUCAAUUUUUUUUUCACUUGAGAUUACGUCUUUAAAAUUAAUCCACAGGGUUGCAUAUAUUAAUGAUUUGUUCAGUCUCAUUGCUGCCUACUGUUGGUGGGCAUUUGAGCAGUAUUAUGGACUGAAUUGUGU